rnacentral:rRNA from 1 species
CUUCUUCUUCGAUUAGAACUCUAAGAAAAAAUUACGCUGUUAUCCCUAAGGUAAUUUAUUCUUAUAAUCUUUAAAAAAGGAUCAUUAUAAAACCUACACUUAUCUAUGAAAAUUUAUAAAAAAAGUUAAAUAAAUUUUUUAAUCACCCCAAUUAAAUAUUUAUUUUAUAAAAAACAAAUUCCUAUUUUAACCUUUUUAAAAUAAAUAUUAAACUCUAUAGGGUCUUCUCGUCUUUUAUAAAAAUUUAAGCUUUUUAACUUAAAAAUAAAAUUCAAAAAUCUAAAAUUGAGACAGUCAUUUUUUCAUCAAACCUUUCAUUCUAGCUUUCAAUUAAAAAACUAAUGAUUAUGCUACCUUAGCACAGUCAAAAUACUGCGGCCGUUAAA